GGGUUGUGAGGUUAAGCGACUAAGCGUACACGGUGGAUGCCCUGGCAGUCAGAGGCGAUGAAGGGCGUACUAAUCUGCGAUAAGCGCCGGUAAGGUGAUAUGAACCGUUAUAACCGGCGAUACCCGAAUGGGGAAACCCAGUGUGAUUCGUCACACUAUCAUUAACUGAAUCCAUAGGUUAAUGAGGCGAACCGGGGGAACUGAAACAUCUAAGUACCCCGAGGAAAAGAAAUCAACCGAGAUUCCCCCAGUAGCGGCGAGCGAACGGGGAGGAGCCCAGAGCCUGAAUCAGCAUGUGUGUUAGUGGAAGCGUCUGGAAAGGCGCGCGAUACAGGGUGACAGCCCCGUACACAAAAGCGCAUGUGCUGUGAGCUCGAUGAGUAGGGCGGGACACGUGGUAUCCUGUCUGAAUAUGGGGGGACCAUCCUCCAAGGCUAAAUACUCCUGACUGACCGAUAGUGAACCAGUACCGUGAGGGAAAGGCGAAAAGAACCCCGGCGAGGGGAGUGAAAAAGAACCUGAAACCGUGUACGUACAAGCAGUGGGAGCACAGGUUUACCUGUGUGACUGCGUACCUUUGUAUAAUGGGUCAGCGACUUAUAUUCUGUAGCAAGGUUAACCGAAUAGGGGAGCCGGAGGGAAACCGAGUCUUAAUUGGGCGUUAAGUUGCAGGGUAUAGACCCGAAAACCGGGUGAUCUAGCCAUGGGCAGGUUGAAGGUUGGGUAACACUAACUGGAGGACCGAACCGACUAAUGUUGAAAAAUUAGCGGAUGACCUGUGGCUGGGGGUGAAAGGCCAAUCAAACCGGGAGAUAGCUGGUUCUCCCCGAAAGCUAUUUAGGUAGCGCCUCGUGAAUUCAUCUCCGGGGUAGAGCACUGUUUCGGCUAGGGGCCAUCCCGGCUUACCAACCCGAUGCAAACUGCGAAUACCGGAGAAUGUUAUCACGGGAGACACACGGCGGGUGCUAACGUCCGUCGUGAAGAGGGAAACAACCCAGACCGCCAGCUAAGGUCCCAAAGUCAUGGUUAAGUGGGAAACGAUGUGGGAAGGCCCAGACAGCCAGGAUGUUGGCUUAGAAGCAGCCAUCAUUUAAAGAAAGCGUAAUAGCUCACUGGUCGAGUCGGCCUGCGCGGAAGAUGUAACGGGGCUAAACCAUGCACCGAAGCUGCGGCAGCGACACUGUGUGUUGUUGGGUAGGGGAGCGUUCUGUAAGCCUGCGAAGGUGGCCUGUGAGGGUUGCUGGAGGUAUCAGAAGUGCGAAUGCUGACAUAAGUAACGAUAAAGCGGGUGAAAAGCCCGCUCGCCGGAAGACCAAGGGUUCCUGUCCAACGUUAAUCGGGGCAGGGUGAGUCGACCCCUAAGGCGAGGCCGAAAGGCGUAGUCGAUGGGAAACGGGUUAAUAUUCCCGUACUUGGUGUUACUGCGAAGGGGGGACGGAGAAGGCUAUGUUGGCCGGGCGACGGUUGUCCCGGUUUAAGCGUGUAGGUGUGUGUUCCAGGUAAAUCCGGUUCACUUUAACACUGAGGCGUGACGACGAGGCACUACGGUGCUGAAGCAACAAAUGCCCUGCUUCCAGGAAAAGCCUCUAAGCAUCAGGUAACAUCAAAUCGUACCCCAAACCGACACAGGUGGUCAGGUAGAGAAUACCAAGGCGCUUGAGAGAACUCGGGUGAAGGAACUAGGCAAAAUGGUGCCGUAACUUCGGGAGAAGGCACGCUGACACGUAGGUGAAGUGAUUUACUCAUGGAGCUGAAGUCAGUCGAAGAUACCAGCUGGCUGCAACUGUUUAUUAAAAACACAGCACUGUGCAAACACGAAAGUGGACGUAUACGGUGUGACGCCUGCCCGGUGCCGGAAGGUUAAUUGAUGGGGUCAGCGCAAGCGAAGCUCCUGAUCGAAGCCCCGGUAAACGGCGGCCGUAACUAUAACGGUCCUAAGGUAGCGAAAUUCCUUGUCGGGUAAGUUCCGACCUGCACGAAUGGCGUAAUGAUGGCGGGCUGUCUCCACCCGAGACUCAGUGAAAUUGAACUCGCUGUGAAGAUGCAGUGUACCCGCGGCAAGACGGAAAGACCCCGUGAACCUUUACUAUAGCUUGACACUGAACAUUGAGCCUUGAUGUGUAGGAUAGGUGGGAGGCUUUGAAGUGUGGACGCCAGUCUGCAUGGAGCCGACCUUGAAAUACCACCCUUUAAUGUUUGAUGUUCUAACGUGGACCCGUUACCCGGGUUGCGGACAGUGUCUGGUGGGUAGUUUGACUGGGGCGGUCUCCUCCUAAAGAGUAACGGAGGAGCACGAAGGUUGGCUAAUCCUGGUCGGACAUCAGGAGGUUAGUGCAAUGGCAUAAGCCAGCUUGACUGCGAGCGUGACGGCGCGAGCAGGUGCGAAAGCAGGUCAUAGUGAUCCGGUGGUUCUGAAUGGAAGGGCCAUCGCUCAACGGAUAAAAGGUACUCCGGGGAUAACAGGCUGAUACCGCCCAAGAGUUCAUAUCGACGGCGGUGUUUGGCACCUCGAUGUCGGCUCAUCACAUCCUGGGGCUGAAGUAGGUCCCAAGGGUAUGGCUGUUCGCCAUUUAAAGUGGUACGCGAGCUGGGUUUAGAACGUCGUGAGACAGUUCGGUCCCUAUCUGCCGUGGGCUGGAGAACUGAGGGGGGCUGCUCCUAGUACGAGAGGACCGGAGUGGACGCAUCACUGGUGUUCGGGUUGUCAUGCCAAUGGCACUGCCCGGUAGCUAAAUGCGGAAGAGAUAAGUGCUGAAAGCAUCUAAGCACGAAACUUGCCCCGAGAUGAGUUCUCCCUGAGACUUAAAGUCUCCUGAAGGAACGUUGAAGACGACGACGUUGAUAGGCCGGGUGUGUAAGCGCAGCGAUGCGUUGAGCUAACCGGUACUAAUGAACCGUGAGGCUUAACCUUACAACGCCGAAG
rnacentral:rRNA from 1 species